GGGCUCUCAUAGCUCAGCUGGUAGAGCAUGGCGCUUGCAAUGCCAGGGCAGUGAGUUCAAUUCCCGGUACUUCA